UUCUGAUUAAACACCCCGUAAUGAUGGCUUCAGCUAAGUGCUUAUGAAAGUAUAUGGGAAUUGCCGUGGAAAGUCAGGCAUAUUGUUGGCCUUUGUUCCUCAUGGUUUGGUGUAUAAUGUGUGACCAGGAGGUCACAGUCUAACGUGUAAAUCAUUCACAUGAUGAAUAAGUACCAGCAGCCACCAGCAUUGCACUCUUUUCACAGUCAGCAGCUGAGCUGGUUAUUUGCUAACUGAACAGCCUCAGGGUGCCUGGUUAAUGCUCACAUAUCCAGCACCCUCCCUGUGUUCCUUUGUAAAUCUAGUAAAAAAAAAAAAAAAAGAAAAAAAGUAACCAGCUAGCUGGCACUUAAAAAUUACUGUUUUCUGAGUAAGUAGGGGAGAGCAUAAACCAGACAACUGGUAACCACCCCCCAUUGGAGAAAAUUUCUUCAUUCUAUGUCUAUACUAUUUUAUAGUAGCAGCAUGGUUUUUUGGGACUUUGUGACAGGUUUCCUCUCCGGAGACCAAUUAUUUGUCUGCAGAAAACAUUCAGUUGUUUUCUAUUUAGCAUUGUGAGAUUUGCCCUGUCAUUUUGUUAGUAUAGUUAUUUUUUUUUUCAUCCAUUAUGCAAUGCCUUCCUUCCACAGUUUAAUCACCAAAGAUUUUUUAUGUAUGUGAUCCUUUUGUUGUGAGUUAAAGGUAUUCACAGUUAAAGGAUUCCAAAUAUACGAACUUGAUGAUAAACCAAGAGGAACAUGAAAAAUGGAGUAGCUUUGCUGGAAAAUAACCUGGAUUAUGUGUUUCAUUUUGUUUUCCCAUCGUAAGUGGUAUUCACCUGGUUGUAAAGUUUAGUUUUCAAAGCAUUAUAGCUUAUAACUGAAACCACACCCAUGAUAGUCUUGCCAGUUUAUGAGCUGUUUAAGAUUUAUAGGAGCUUUGUUGCCUCUGGCUAGAAAUUGCCUCACUUGUGUCCUGAGACCAGUUUAAAUCUUUUAACUACAGAACACAAUUGAAGCCAUCAAAAAAAAAACAGGGGUUCUGGUUUACUUUUUAAUAGUUCUGACUUUCCCAAGACAAUAUCCUUUGCAGCAGACUCCCUGCAAUAAUAUUUAGAAGUGACUUUAUUGUAUUUAGCAGGAGUAUUUGACUGUGAACAUAAUGUUUGUGUCUUAUUUUCUGUGAGUUAUAGUAUUACUACUUCAGAAAAAUUAUUUAACCUUUAUAAAUGUUCUUUUUUUAAUGUAUUUUUUCUUUCUUCUCCCCUCCGGGAAAUGCAUUUUUAUAUUUGUAGUUUGUCAGUAGGAAUAAAUUUGACUCAACAAUCUAUAGCCAAAAUUUUCUAAAAUCCCUUAUUUAGAUUAGUAUAGUAAAUUCACUGAUUAUAAAUAUGGCAAAGUAGAACAACAGUAAAACAGAUUUAUGCUCCUGUAUCCUAAAGGUGAUGGCUUUGCAUAGGUACAGUUUUUGUUUGUUUGUUUUUGUAUUUCUUCUUGUCCAAAGACUUUAGAACUUCAUGAGGAAUAAACUGACAAGAAAAGUACUGUUGUAUGUUACGUGUGUAAGAACAUAGGUAAUAGUUUUCCAUUAGGUAUAAUAAAUGUAUAUGAGUAUAUUUUUCCUUUUUCCAUAUUUUUGGAAAUAAAAAAACCAAACACUUGAUGAUUUUGCCUGUUGAGGCUGCUGAUAUGGUAAGCCUGUUACUCCCCAUCACUGUCUUUUGAUUUAGGCUUGACUUAUGUAUUUAAAGUUGCUUGACUUUUGCGUCUCUGCCUCUUUCUGCUGGUUAGUUGCAAAGCUUCUUUGUUCAAAGUUAACUCUUACCUGAUGACCAUCGUGCCUUGAUCCUUAUGUGGUUAUUGUUUAGAAAUUUUCAAACAAAAUGUUUAAACAAGGGAUCAGUGAAGUUGAAUCUGCAUAGACAAACUGCUUCUAUGAUGUAUUAUUUGCUAUUAAUGUUUUUACCAUGGAAGUUCCUUUUUUUUUAUCCUAUAAUUAAUUUAGUUAACAUCUUCAAGUGCCAAUAUAUGACUUUCCAGGGUCUCACUUAAAGUGGCAUAUAAAAACAACUGAUUAAACAUUUUAGGUCAGGUGUAACCACGUCGCCAGGUCCGGGUCCAAAUUUCAGAGCUAUGUACAAAGGUAAAUUUAUAUAUUCUCCAUAGCCCUUUUGCGUUAAAAAGGAACUUACUGCAUAGUCUGGUGGGUAGUAGGUGCUUAAUAAAUGCUACGUGAAGCAAUAAGUGAUGAUAUACUUGUUAUGUAUGCAUUGACAUUCUUUCUUUUUAAAUUCCUCCUGUUGAUAUACUAACGAAACACGGCAUAGUCUAGUGGUGGGAAGGAUGGCUCUGAGCCAUGUCGCCUGGGCUUGGGACUGGCCUUAGCUGUUUACUUGCUUUUUGAACUUCAGCAGUUUGCAUCCUCUCUCUGUGCUGUAGUUUCCUCAUUUGUAAAAGGAAAUUAAUAAGAGGACCUAACUUACAAUGUUGUUGUAAGCAUUAUGUGAGUUAAUAAUAUAUGUAGGAUGGGCAUGGUGGCUUGUCCUAGCACUCUGGGAAGCCAAGUGGGAGAACCACCUGAAGCCAGGAGCUUCAGGCUGUGGUGAGCUAUGAUGGCACCACUACAUUCCAGCCUGGGUGACAGAGCGAGACCUUAUCUCAAGAAACAAAAGAGCACAUAAAGUACUUUCUGAGGUGCCCAGUAUAUAGUAAAUGCUAAGUAUAGCAAUUACUGUGUUAACUAGUUUAUAUUAGAGCAUGUUCUUUAAAAUUGGACAUUUCGUGUGAAGGAGAAUAACAUUUCCUCAUUAUUUCUUUGCAGACAGACUCUGAAUUUUAUGUUGAAUUUCUGUUGAAACAAGAAGGUACAUAAUCACAGUCAUUUUCAGAUUUGUUGUUAUUUCCUCCUUAAUCUAAUGGCUUUCAUGAUCUUUUGCUUAUCUUUACCAAUAAACAUAGUCAACUGUGAUAGUUGAGAGGUUUUUUUUUGGGUGAAAUUAUUAGUGUUUGUUAUUGCAAUAAAGAAGCAAAGAAAGACUCCUAAUAUUGAAAACAUAUAUUGUGAGGUUUAUUCAAAUUCAAGAAAGAUGUGACCACUAGGUUUACAUUGUAGCUUGUUAGCACAUUUAAAUCAUUUACUCCUUAUUAAUAAUUGUGAUUAAUCUUUAUAGGCAAUAUUUGUAAAUGGCUUUGCUCUUUACUUUUUCUUGUCUUCUAUUGUGUGCUAAGAAAUGUAUCAACUUAUAAUCUUGACUGCUUUUAUAAAUAUACUAAUAUAUGCAAAUUCUGGUAGCUCUUUUGGAUUUCUUAAAUAUAGCAGGGAAUUUUCAUCGGUUUUUACUUUUCUUCCUGAGACAGAUGUUGGUAUCAGGAAAAUAACAUUUGUAACAGACAGAUCAAUUAUUUCAGGAACAUGGAGGUGCUAGGCCUUUUUCAAGAACAUGAGAUCGUAAAUCUUAAGAAAAUCUGAGCACUGGUGUAAUAUUUUUCACCUAAAGUGGCACUCAAGGUCAUAGUUACCAAUUAAAUUUUAAUACUGAGCUUAAAAUUCUUUCUGUCUCAGUAUAAGAGAUACAAGAUUUAUUUCAGUUUGCAUGUGGCAAAUCUGUAUACCAGGGCGUGUAUUCUUUUCUUUGAGUCCAUGUUUUUAAAUUAUUGCAAAAUUGUCUUAUAUCUGUGGACCUCAUAGCAUCUUGUAUUUAAGCCUGCAGUCACUAGCUUUUAAGCACUUCAGACCAUCAUUCUGUGUUGUACUGCCUAAAGAUUAUAUGGAGGAGAUAGGAAAUGUUUAAAUAGCUUACACUCUUUCUGAUCUUGUUACUCUUGUGCUUUGUGAUAACCUUGAACAGAUAAUGGUUAAAUUGAUGAGUCCUUUCUGACAACUCUUGUGUCUCAGAUGCUCAUUGUUAAACUGUUGAUUACAAAGAGAUGCACAUGGCUUAGAAACACUGUCUUUUCUGAGUCACCAAGGAGAUUUCUUAGCAGAGACAUCUUCAAAGAUGGUCACUUUCUCUUUCAGGUGGAUAGGAUUGACAUAUAACGCCAUUCCCAUUUGUUCUUGUCUGAUUAAAGGAAUCUACAAAAUCUUGCUUUAUUACCAAUUUCAUUUCUUAUGUGACAUUAAGCACAGCAUUGUCAUUAAUUAUAAAACAUGGCCCCUUUCCACACAUAAUUUAUAUCCUUCUUAGGAAAGGAAUAGAUACAGACACAAAGUUUUGAUUACAUAAAUGCAUGUAUAUAAAUGUACACAUAAAUUUUUAAAUACUAUAUACUAUUUUAUAUAUGGAUUUAUUACUGUAUAGCAGUGCCUUAAAAACAAUUAGUGUAAUAGUUUGAUAAACGUAAAAGGAUCUAGAAUUAUACAAUACAUGCAAGAAAGCAAAACAAAUUGGGAAAGACAAAUGUCCCAAAUUGCUUUUAAUCUGGGUUAUGUAUAAAUGUUUUCAUUUAUAUGAAUAAAAAUGUUAUACUGGUUUACUGAAUUGAAUUAUAAUUUAAUAUCAUUGUUUUUAAUGUUUUAAUUUCAAAGGAUUUAUUCCAAGUCUAAACAGAAUUUUUGAUUGCUUUUAGGUUUGGUUUUAAAUAUAAUACCAAGAUCCUCAAUAGAGAAAUUUUAUAUUUUUGUUUCCAAAUAGAAAACAUUGAGAAAAUUAACAACAGUGUUUUUAAAAGCACUUAUCUAAAAUACAUUUUAUAUCUUUUUAUGAAAGAGACAAAUACAUAUUCCUGAAGGUUUUAGUAAAUGAGCUUUCAUCUGUAAUAAAUAAUAAAGUUUCCAUAGAUUAGAAUAUUUCCAUAUUAAUCAGUCAAACCUGCUUCUGUCUUUUCUAUCACCUCCAAAACUAAUUUCUCAUCAAACAUAGAUCCUAAUCUAAAUAUUGGGAGCAUAAUUGUAAAUAUGUAGAAAUGUAUUUCACAUUGAAAGAAAUGAACUUGAAAAAACUGGGACAGUAAACCCAGUGAUUAAGAUUCAUUGCAGAGAAAUGAGAAAUCCAAGCUGUGAACAAAUGCUGAGGAGCAUGCUCUGGUUUUUAAAAUAGCUGACUUCUUUUCAAGCUUCUAUUAAACCAUGGACAGUAAGACUAGUUUUGCACUAGGAUAGUUGAUCUUCUUGUUAUUUUCAAGACUACCUUUCUAAUUCCCUUUACUGGGAUAACAGAUUUCAAAUGAGCUCCAGAGUUCCUUGCUCAUAUCUUUCUUGGUUUGAGGAGGAUUUAUUUCUCCCCUUCAAGACUCAUUCCAAGUUCACAAAGGAUCAUUCCUGCUGUUGUCUGGCAGGUCUGUGCAUGCCUUGCCAAGCCCGUCUUUUAUGCUGAUCAGGUACCUUCAGAAUCAGAACAAAGGUGAGGUGAAUACGUGGAGAUGUGCAUGUGGUUGGUUUUAGAUGUGCAUGUGGUUGGUUUUAAUCACAUCAGUGAUAUGAUUACAGAAAUAACAGAACGUUUGAAUUAUAAUAUUUAGAACAUACUCUGGGCCAUUUAUGCACUGCUAACAAUUUCUCUUAUGGUACUAGUUAUGUUUUAGAAGAUAAAGUAUUUAUUAAAUAUUUUGAAGAAAUUACUGAAAAAGAGAUAUUGAA